rnacentral:lncRNA from 1 species
GAAGACAAACGAGUUCUUCAAACAGUCCCACCAUAACAAUCAAUCUUACAAGCAAAACAUGGCAUAGGGAAAAAAAUGUGAAGCAAGCAAUGAGCAACCCACAAUAAUAGAUAUGCGAUGCACAAACAAUAUGAAUCUUAGUCCCUCGGUGUUACAGAUGCGUGCAAUGAGUCAGAGUAAGAGAGUAAAGAUGCAAGGAUCUACCAGUUCGGACGUAAAUGAAGAAAAAAAAUAUUGUCAGGUUAGUUGUCUUUGUGUACAUUUCGUUUCCCUUUGAAUUCCUUUUCCUUCUGUUAGAAUCCUGGCUAUGGAUGCCUUUGACGGUAAUAUGUGAGUAGCAGGUGCUUUUAGCUCAAAGUUGUUGAGAUUC